rnacentral:sRNA from 1 species
AUACACAUGUGUACACACGAACAAGCACACUAACAUGAAAUCCAAACCUAACAUGAUUGUGAAUUUCCUGAAAAACAUUUGGGGCAAAUGUACUCAGAGAAAAAACUACUAUGGGCUGCAGAGUUUCUAGAAUGCUGGCAAGGGAACAAACACACACAGGCAGGGAGGAGCACUGUGCUGCCUUAAAAUAUACCCCUUUGUACACACAUACUACACAGUCUGUCACCAUGGGAGCUGUCAUAAAACACAUUUUUGUCUCCUUUGCCUCAAAUAUGAAAUGGCUAUUUAUAAAUGUGUUCACAGGGUGGACUGUGUUCUUCUUUUAAACAGUACAGAAACUAUGAGACUCUUGAUAAGGAGGUAGAAGAUAGAGACUUCUAAGCGUGACUCUAAUUUAAGCCCCUAGGAAGGACAUCUCAGGACUAAGGAAUGUUGGGAAGGAUCUAGAAGUCUCCGGAUAACAUUAAAAUUGGAAAUAAUUCCAAAGCGGUCAGAUUAAUGCAUGUGCUGUUCCGGGGCUGAAACAUUUAAAAGUCACCCAAGCUCAGAACUUGCACCUGAUAAGAACUGCCUCAUGAGAUGAGACAGAGGGUGGUGGGUAAAGGUAUUAGGCUCCUAUGCCUGAGGCCUGGACUCAGUCACUGAAAAUCACAUACAGUGGAAAGCAGCAGCAUGCAUCUGUAACCCCAGCAUUUCUAUGGUUAGAUGAGGAAGGCAGAAGGUUCUUGUUACUUUGGGUUCCUGUGACAAAACAAUAAUCAAAAAAGAACUUGGGGAAGAAACCAUUUAUUACACCUUAUGGGUUAGAGUCCAAGAACAAUUGACGCUUGAAUUUAAAGUAGCAAUUCAAGACAGAAUCUUGGAGGCAGGAACUGAAGCAGAGAUCAUGGAGGAAUGCUGCUUACUGGCUUGCUCAGCUUGAUCUCUUCUUAUUCAAGCUAGAGCAGCACAAGUCGUGUUAAUCAAAAAGGAAAUGUCUUUCAGAUGUUCAUACAUGCCAAUCUGAUGGAGCUUCUCAUUUUCCAGGUGACUCUAAUUUCUGCUAAUUAACAAAUAAAUUGACCAGAAAAGUGAAACAAGAAAGUUUUUAGGGGGUUUAUUUACUAUCUUGCCUGGAGUAUGCAAAAUGAACCAGCCAACAAAGAGACUCCAAUUCAAUGAAGCUGAAGGCAAGAACAUACUCUUCUUACUUGUCCAUUGACAAACAUAUUCAUGGGCUCACAUGUAAAUGGAUAACUAAAUAAAAUUCAAAAUUAAAGUAAAACAUAAAACACCAAACGAAUUAAUUUUUCAAUCUGUGACUAGGUACCACGUGGGAACUCAUCUGGAUGAUGUUGUUCUAGCAUAACACAAUGUGUUCUGUGUAAUUGCAGAAAACACAAAGUAGACCCAAAUUCACAUAUGAGGUUGGUAUUUUAUAUCCUACAUGUGUUGUGUAUUUAUGAAUUAUUUCACCAUUUGCUGGCAUGUAUCAUCCGUCAUUUUAUCAUCUUCCAUUGGUAUAUCUUUUUAAUCUGUCCAUUCAUCCAUACAUAUCAUACCAUGCCAUACAUACAUACAUGCAUACAUAUAUCCACUAUCCAUUUAUAAGUAUAGCUGUCAAAUAGCCUAAAAACAUUUCAUUUUUAGAAAAGAAUCCCUUGAAUUAUAAAUGGGGCUUGGUAAUUGUGGUACAAAAUUGCUUUCCUCUUUUGGUCAUAUCACAUAAAGAUGUUAUGCAUAUUCCUCUACCUACCCACACCUAUAUACUGAGAUUACCUUCUGUCUUCUGAUACUUCAAAGAUGAAUCCAUCUAGUAAGCUUCCUGAAUGUAUUCUCACAUCUGGUAGCAAAGAGAUGAAAUGUUCAGACUUACUAAUAAAUGAUGUUAGAAUGAAAAAUGGCCCCAUGAUUAAUGCAAAUAAAUAGUUAUUUCAUUUGAAAGCAACUAAAAAGAAGUUCUCCUGACUCAAGAUUUCAAGAAAGAUUUUUUGCGAAGAUAUUUGAGUCAUGUUUGAAAGGCAAACAGGGAAUUAUUUAUUAAGCCACUGCCAUCCUGAUGUAGCAGAUACCAAAAGGUAACUGUAAGCCAUCGAGUUCAAGUAAAGUCCUUUGAAGGUAUAAAGAAUGGUUCUUUUUUCUAAAACUGUGCCAGGAAAGGUUGUAAGUUUUCCAAAAUAACAUCUUUGGCCUUUUACAUCUGUCCUGCAAUACGCACAGCUAGCACUGAAAUACUACUGGAGCCCUUGGACUUCCUUUGAAACAUAAUAUUCAACAAAAUAUUUCUCUACAUACAAUUGUUAUUACUAAAAUACUUAUAAAGUCCAAAAAUAACCUUAUUUACAUGGAAUUAUGUCUGCAUAGGCCAAUGACGCUCCUGUUCCUCAUCUUCUCUUCUGAUCUAAUUUAUGUGUGGCUUGUUCUAGUAUUCUCCUGACUCAUGGACUGUGUGCUAUAAAAUGAACUUUUCUUGAGAAGAUGAUUACUGAGACAUCUCUCUAGGACCUUUUUGGUGCUUUUUAUGACAUAGAAUGGAAGUGAUUAGUGGGUGUCUAGGCAAAGAUAGUAAAAAAGUUGGGCAUGACUAUGGAGCUUAGAUAAUGUAUUUCUGGCCACUAAAUGACAAGUAUUAGUUAUUAAAGGGUAAUUGCUUAUCUUUAAAUUUUAAACCUGUAUCAGUUGAGAACUUUAUCAAUUGAACAUCAACUUUGCAUUAUAUUUUGCCCUAAAAGUCUUCAUAUUCUAUGAAGCAUCCCCAUACUCGAUCAUUUGUGUGAUCUUUUGAUGCUUUUUUUCCCUCUUUUUCAGCUAUUCACUUAUUUUCAAAUUUCCCAAUCUAAUCUAAAUUUCAGUAUUCUCUCUGUAAAUAGAUAUCCUAGAAAUGCAAUGAAGAAGGAAUUUAUUGUAUGAUGAAAGUAACAACUUGAAAGCAUAGGAUGACUGGAAACUUCAUCAAGAAAAGAGUAUUUCAACUUUUGGUUCUAUUAAUGAUCCAUAGAUGGGAAAAUAUGAAGUUAGGAGGCUCCUGAGAAAGCAGGGGAGAGGAGUGGCUAUGACCAAGGAACAUGGUAAAUAUGCAUGGAAUCUUCAUAGAAUAAAUUUAAUUAAAAUGUCAAUGAAGUACACAAUAAAAGAAAUGUCGAAAAAUUCAUAGAUGCUGUAGAAACAAGUGAGUAAUUCUGGUCUUCUCUUUUUCUAUUUGAUGACUGGAAUUAGAAGCAAGUACUAUCUACAUUUUUUUGCAUAUUUGUCCACAUUAGGUUAAUGGGUGUCCUAGUUAGCAUUAAAUGUGUAUUUGACAUGCACUAGAGAAGCAUAGAAACUGAGUAAGUGUCUUGAUCAGGUGGAUAAGUAUGGUUUGAUGAAUUGACUGAUAACUGUUGUAGAACACAGCCCACUGUGGGCAGUUCCAUUCUCAGGGCCCUGUUCCUGGGCUACAGUGAAUCUACCUAAGCAAAACCCAAGACAGAGAGUGAGGCAGCUCAAGGUUGCAGGACCAUGCUAUAUGAGGCAUGCUGUACUUCCUUGACUGAAUAUGAAUUCCCUAGUCAUAGGUAAUGAAUGCUGCACGAUGUACCAAGCAGGCCUGUCUUUAGCUUCUUGCUCUGACUACCCUUAGUGACUGCCUGAGGCUUGAAUGUGUAAGAUGAGGUGGUCUAUGUUAUCCCCAAGUUUCUUGUAAUCAGAGUACUCAUCACAGCUACAAAAAGAAUAGGAAGUGGGUAAGCCCGGGCACAUGAUAGGCAGCUGCCUGUCUCCUGUCUCUGCCUCUGCUCAUCUGAAAACUCUGUGUAUUCAUGGCAUUCAAAACAUAUUUGUGUUCAAGCACAUGUUCCCUCGCAUGUAGUCCAGCAUUUUAAGUAUUUUCAUAAUAAAAUUUCUUAAACUUUAAGAAAUGUUAUUCUCCAAUAAGUAUAGAAAAAGUAGAAAAAGCUAGGGAUAGUUACAAAUGGAUUAACUACACACAGCCAUGUUUUGGGCCUAUCCAUUGAUAUACCUCCUGUCUUAUUGCAGAUUUUUUUGCAGUCCAUCCAAAAAAAAAUUGAUUCUGUUUCUAAAUAUAGGUAAUCCCCUAAGCUCCAGUUGAUUCUGAACAACUAGAUGCGUCAGUGUGGGUGUAUCUAAAUUCCCAUUCGGGCUGAAUGCCCAGCUUUGCUAGCCCUGUACAUUGAAGGGACACUCUGAAGGAUUCUAUUUAUCUAAGCGGUUGGCCUCAUGCUUGGAUUUGCAGGUGUGGCUGUAAAUUUCAGAUGAUAUAUGGAGGAGGAAGCCCAACAAAAUCUGAAACUGUAACAGAACUCAAGACUCACGGCCUCUUUUGGGAGAUGCUUCGGUUUUAUGAUUUGGGCUGUGGAAGAUGGUGGAACCUCACUGGGAUCACAUCUGUCAGGUUUACAGGGUGAAGACAAGCGCUCAGCAGGCUUGCAUGCUACUGUGUGGGAGGAAACAGAUACUCAUAAAUUUGCCCACCUGGUGGAAACAGCAAUUCCUGCUUGUAGCACACACAGCAUGAAGACAUUUCAUUGCAAGCUGACUCUGAGUGACCGCAAGUCAAGACUUAGACUCCAUGUGAAACUGAAAUUAAAGGUGCCCACUAAGCAUUAACCCACAGCAGUCAUUCACACUUUAACCAACUAUUGGUUUCCCAAAUAUCUAAGUCUGCCUCCCUAUGCCCACACCGCUCAGUAUUCCCAUUAAAUUACGAAAAGGCUAAUCUCUGUUCCACCAAACUGAAAUAUGGAAAGAAAUUGCAAGUCAUGACAAUCUACACAAGGGUGGAAUCCUAUUGCAUCAUCAAGUUCUUACUCUGUUUGGCCAGUUAUUCCAGCAAGAGAAGCAAAGGGCGAAGAAAACAAAUGAAACUUUCCAGUGUGGUACUGCGCUAAUGUCACAGAACACCAAUCAUCAUGUUUUUGUCUGCCUGCGAAUCAAUUUGAGUGGGUCACAACACUAACUUGCUCAUCCCACAAUUCUUAGCGAAAGCAUCAGAAAUUCCCAGGAAGCCUGACUCAGGUUACUCAACACUUUAAAAAUGAAACAGUUUUGUUUACCAACCAACAGCACCUUGGACUCUUUGACUUCUUGGCUGAGAUGAUACUGGUGAAGCUUCUGCUGUUUUGCCAUGAGCAAAUAAUGUAAGGUUGAAAGGGAUUAAAUGAAGUGAGUGUUGGGAAUACAGAGCCUACCCGCUGUCCAUUUGAGUAACAUCUGGAUAGCAGGCCAAACAAAAGUCAUUCUAACUGAAUCCUGCUGGUUAUAUAGAAAACCAGCAAAUAAUUUACAUCAGUGUCAAAUAAUUUAUAUUAACUUAACCAAUAUAUAUCUUCUGUCUAGACCAUUGUGAACUUUUCCAGAUAUACAGUUUUUAUUAUUGUUUUCCAGUCCUGAAAGCAAUGGCAAGGUGCUGGCAUUGCCUUCCUGAUGGGUUGCUUGUAUGUUUUGUAGAAUUCGAUGGUUCUGCUUGGGUAAGCAUUUCCUGUAUAGCCCUUCACUGUGUCUCGCCAUACUGGAGCCAUGAAGAAGGAAAUUUAUGUUGAAACCCAGCUAAACUGUUUUUGCUGACAUCCCUCUGUCAUGUUUCAUUCAUACACUGUGAAACCCUGGAGCCUGAGGACCACUUGAGAUUCAAACGCAAAUGCAGAGAGCACACCCUCAUGAGUCUUGGCACCAGUGAUAAACUUUGUCAAAACUGAUUUGGCACUGAAGCAUCAAAUGUUUGCAGCACUCAGCACUUGGAAAAAGCUGACACCAUUCUUAGAUGACUCAUGGGACAACCCAAAGGAAAAAUGUCAGAUGCAGUGACUUCUCUCAGGAACUGUGUGAUUUCAACCCUGAAAUCUCUAAGUGAUCCGAUUCCUUAUUUUUUCCACUGGCUUUUCUUGAGCAGGGGAGGGGAGGCUCUCCAGUCUCCCUUGGAACUUGAUCAUGCAUUUUGGAAUCACUAGCGAUUUGAAUUUCAAAGAAGAUUAAAGACAUUAUUCAUCUCUCUUAAAAAUUGUAAUUGUAUAAAUGACAUCUUUCAAAGCAUCCUACUGACACAUUAAAUAGUAGCAAGCACAUUUUAUGGCACAAAAAGGUAUGGUUUUUUCAUCCUUGCAAAUAAAAGCAUAACUGAUUAUCUGCCAUCUCUCUAUGAUUCAAACUAAAGCCAAGACUCCUAAUCUUUUUGUUUCAGAUAUCAAAUUUAAGGCUCCCUCUAGGACUUUCUUAACUGUCUACCACUACUCUAUUUCUAUGAUCACAGUCAACUAUAUGUACCAUAUUUUCUGAUUCAAACCGAUAAACAGAAAUUAUUUGCUCUUGAGAAAAACAUUGUUAUCAAUAAAGCCAUGAGUUUUAUUAGGAUGUAAAUAUAUUGUCUGAAAAAUAUGGAAAAGAAAUGAUGCUGUCCACAUCCAGUAAAGACUUCUCAGGCACUAUUUCUUUCUCCGUUAUUUUGUCUUGAACAAUUUAUCAUCAUUUUCUCUUCUUAAACACAAAAUUUAUCAGUACAGAGAAUGUAUUAGCUAGUUUUAACUAUCACCUAUACAUAUAUGGAGUCAUGAUAAGGGAGUCUUCACUUAGGUGUUGCACAGAUCACAUCAGUCUAUGAGUAUAUCAGUGGAGGAUUGUCUUGAUUAUCAAUGCAUGUAGGAUUUCCCAGCCCACAAAGUGUAGCAUCAUUCCCUGGGCAGGUGGACUGAAUUAUAGAAGGAAGCUAGCAAAGUACAAGCCUGAACAAGUACGCCAGUAUGCAGUGUCUUCCAUUGUUCUUGCCUUACCCCAUUCGCUCUGAAGUGAGUUUACUGGGCAGAACUGAGAAUGUCUAUAAUAGCAAGCAGUCCUAUCUUCUGGUUCCUGCCUUUGCAUUCCUUCUCUGACUUCUCUAGAGGAUAGACUUGGAUCUGGAAUGUGACUCAAAUCAGCUUUUUUAUCUCUAUGUUGCUUUUGCUCACACUGUUUUACUACAGCAACUUUAGAAAUGAAAAUUGAAUGGGACCUCUUCUUGAGAAAGUGUUCAUUCAUUUUAUUUCUCCAGUGACAAGUCAAAAUUGUAUAUAUACAUAAUUUGGCACAGAAUGUUUAGAUUAUUGUAUACAUCAUAGAAAGGAUACAUCAAGCUUGUUAACACAAGCAUCAACUCAUAUUAUGGUCAUUUUUUUUAAUUUAAUUUUUUUAAUUUAUUCACUUUACAUUCUGCUCUCUGUCCCUCUCCCAGUCACUGCCUUUUACAAUCCUUCUCCCAUCCCUCCCUCCCCUUCUCUUCUGAGUGGGUGGGGGCCUUCUGCUUGUCCCCCCACCUUGGCACUUCAAGUCUCUGUGAGGCUACGUGCUUCUUCUUAUGGUUAUUAGUUUUAAUAAAAUCUUUUGAAAAUAGUAAAUACUGAAAAACGUUUUAUUGAAUAAUAAUCACUUUGAUAAAGAGGUAGUCUCUUGUAUUUAUUCCCACCAACUAAUGUAAACUUUAUAUCCUUUGUUUUCUGUCAUUUUACUGUCUCUACUGACCAUUAUUUAUUUCUUCUUCUGACUUCAAUUUUUGAGCAAUCUACAUAUAAGUAAUGUCUUCCCUUGCCUGGGUUAUAUCAUGUCACUCAACAUAUAUCCUCAGUUUUAGGAUUCCCUUCAUAUUUAAAGGAGGAAUAAAAUGUGUGUGUGUGUGUGUGUGUGUGUGUGUGUGUGUGUGUGUGUGUCAUAUUUUCUUUCCCCAUUUUUUUUCUGGCAAUGGUCACAGGUAUAUUCACUUCCUUGUCACUGAGAGUAGCAUUGCAACAGACAUAACAACACUGUUAUCUCUGUGACAGGAGGUGUGUCAUUAUGGAUAUGGGCUUUAAUCCCCUUGUUUUAGCUGCCUGAAAGCCAGUCUUCUCCUAGUGGUCUUCAGAUGAAGAUGUAGGACUCUCACCUCUUCCUGUACCAUGUCUGCCUGAAGACUACCAUGCUCCCACCUUGAUGAUAAUUGACUGAACCUGUGAACCAGCUCCAAGAAAAUGUUGUCCGUAUAAAUGUUGCCUUGGUCACGGUGUCUGUUCAUAGCAGUAAAACGCUAAGUG